GAGAGGUGUCGGGUGAAGAACUUCAAUUCGGACUUGUCCACAACCCGACCGUAAGAACAGGUAUUUAUUUGGGAAGGAUGGUACGGAAAAGCAUUUGUGGAUGAUGAUAAAGGAGAUGAGAGGGUCCGUACUUUCAUCUCGUCCGGGAACUUCUCCCAAGUUGGGUUCAACGGCUCUCAAUUUGAGAAGAAACAGAGCUUUUGCUCAGUUCAAACAUGGGAGUAAAGGCUUCGACCCCCAAAUCUCUCCCAUUUCUCUGGGUUUCAGAUGCUUUUUCACCAAUCAAUUGAAGAGGGACGAGAAACAAGAAUGCGGAUGUGUGUCUGCGUUUUCUUCCAAUUCCAAUGGAGUAGAAGCUUCAGAUGAUGACUUCAUAGUCGUAAACUUCUACUAUUUUGUGUUCAUUGAAGACCCAGAAGAGGAAGUGGCCAAGCACCUCUCCUUCUUGCAGGGUCUUGACAUUCACGGUCGAGUAUAUAUAAAUGAAAAAGGGAUUAAUGCACAGUACAGUGGCCCAUCUAAAGAUGCUUGUGCAUAUUUAAAAUGGUUGAAGGAAGACCAGAGAUUUUCUGAUAUUUUGGUUCAGAUUUCUCCUGCUUUAAGUGGGCAUGCCUUUCCACGACUGAAACUGCGGUAUAAACCUUCACUAGUGCAGUUGGAAGGAGGCAUCUCACACCUUCCUUUGCUUGACCCUUCAAUGCGAGCAACUCCACUUACACCAUCUGAAUGGAGGCAAAGAUUGGGAACUGCAAAUAGUAGGAAGUUUAUUCUUUUGGAUGUGAGAAAUGGGUAUGAAUGGGAUAUUGGUCAUUUUCAAGGAGCUCAACGGCCUGAUGUGGACAGCUUUAGGAGCACUUCAUUUGGGCGAUCUAAGUCAGAGCUCACUGCAGUGGAUCCUCUAGCCAGUGUUGAUAAAGAAAGUACAGAUAUUUUGAUGUAUUGUACGGGAGGUAUCCGUUGUGAUGUAUAUUCUACAAUCCUAAGACGAAAGGGCUUCCAAAACUUGUACACAUUGAAGGGUGGUGUCUCUCAUUAUCUCAAGACUGAAGGCCCUGUUGAAUGGGUUGGGAAUUUAUUUGUUUUCGACUCUCGUCUUUCUCUCCCACCAUCGGCCUACAAGCCUGGAGCUGUGGCUAAAGCAGGCCGCCCACAACUGUUCUCUUUGGAUAGUUCCUUCCUAAGAUGCUACAUUUGUGGCUUGCAACUUUGUGAACCAAGGCACCGCAAUUGUGCAAAUUUAGACUGCAAUCUGCUUUUUCUAUGUUGUGCGAAGUGUGUGAAAGAGCUACGGGGAUGUUGUUCUUUGGAUUGUGCAUCUGCUCCUCGGCUUAGACCCCUUUUACCUGGCCAUCAGAGAUACAAAAAGUGGCAUAUUUAUCGUGACCUGCAGUUGCAGGAAGGCUGGUAGCUUAUUCUCUCCUGAUUAUGGAUGAGUAUCUUUAUGAAAUUUGUAAUCUAUGUUUCUCAUCUUCUGGGAGGAAGAGAAAAUCAGUCUGCCUCGUGGGUUGGGAGAAUGAAUGUUGGGCACUCAAGAUCAAAGCAUGGACCUUCCUUUCUAGAGGUUGGAUAUGAUUAAGUCAUCUGUAUUCUUGUGGAGUGAUGGUCUACAGUGAUUACUGUGACAUGCCAGCAAGGGGGCCAGGACAAAAUUUUGUUAGGUCUACUCGGUUCCGGUGGUUUAGGCUGGGUUUUUUUAUCCCUCUCCUCCCAUGAAAAUGACAUAUUUGCCUCCUAUUGUCAGAGGAGAGAGAGAGAGACACGGGAAGGUGUUAGUGUAUGCUAUGCAGCCAGACAGGAUUUAUAUACAAUUUUGUCUUUAUAU